CUCCCGAACACCAGCGCUCCACGCGGCGCCCAGAAACCGCCCGGCAGCAACAAGACCCAACUCCUCUGGGCUGGGCACCUUGGUAGGCAUGCGCCAUCGCAACGGCCCCCAGCGACCAGCACGCAGUCCCUGCCCUCAGAGCUCAGCGUUUGUGAAAAAAAACGUCAGGCAGAGAGGGCACGUGCGCUCAGCAGACAGCGAGAAAUCACCCC